CCUACGGGAGGCUGCAGUGAGGAAUAUUGGUCAAUGGGCGAGAGCCUGAACCAGCCAAGUCGCGUGAGGGAGUACUGCCCGAUGGGUGGUAAACCUCUUUUGUCGGGGAGCAAAAGCCGGACGGGGCCGGCUGUGAGAGUACCCGAAGAAAAAGCAUCGGCGAACUCCGGGCCAGCAGCCGCGGUAAUACGGAGGAUGCGAGCGUUAUCCGGAUUUAGUGGGUGUAAAGGGGGCGCAGGCGGAUUUUUAAGGCAGCGGUCAAAGCGUGGGGCUCAACCCCAUCCAGCCGUUGCAACUGGGGAUCUAGAGUGUGCGAGAGGUCUGCGGCAUGCGUGGUGUAGCGG
rnacentral:rRNA from 1 species